UACGUAGGGAGCAAGCGUUGUCCGGAAUCAUUGGGCGUAAAGCGCGCGUAGGUGGCCUCGUAAGUCCGCUGUGAAAGUCAAAGGCUCAACCUUUGAAAGCCGGUGGAUACUGCAGGGCUAGAGUACGGGAGAGGCGAGUGGAAUUCCUGGUGUAGCGGUGGAAUGCGUAGAUAUCAGGAGGAACACCAAUAGCGAAGGCAGCUCGCUGGGACGUUACUGACGCUGAGACGCGAAAGCGUGGGGAGCGAACAGG
rnacentral:rRNA from 1 species